CCUACGGGUGGCAGCAGUGGGGGAUAUUGGACAAUGGGGGGAACCCUGAUCCAGCGACGCCGCGUGAGUGAAGAAGUAUUUCGGUAUGUAAAGCUCUAUCAGCAGGGAAGAAAGAAAUGACAGUACCUAACCAAGAAGCCGCGACUAACUACGUGCCAGCCGCCGCGGUACUACGUAGGGGGAAAGCGUUAUCCGGAAUUACUGGUUGUAAAGGGAGCGUAGGCGGUUCAGUACGUCUGGAGUGAACGGCCGGGGCCCACCCCCGGGACUGCUCUGGAAACUAUUGAACUGGAGUGCAGGAGAGGCAAGUGGAAUUCCUAGUGUAGCGGUGAAAUGCGUAGAUAUUAGGAGGAACACGAGUGGCGAAGGCGGCUGACUGGACUGUAACUGACGUGGAGGCUCGAAAGCGUGGGGAGCAAACAGGAUUAGAUACCCGAGUAGUC
rnacentral:rRNA from 1 species